ACCGAUGACUGGGGUGAAGUCGUAACAAGGUAGCCGUAUCGGAAGGUGCGGCUGGAUCACCUCCUUUCUAAGGAA
rnacentral:rRNA from 1 species